rnacentral:lncRNA from 1 species
GGGCAAGGACAGUGUUGCAAUCAAACUACCAUAAGGUUCUUGUUAUUGAGGUGGAUGGCCUGUGGAUGCUUCAGGGAUGGAAGGGGAGAGUCAUCCAUGCUCUUUCCUACUGGAAACCUGUUCAGGAGUGUGAGAGCUCUAAUAUUUUUAUUAAUUAACAUGAUAAAUAGGCUGUUAAGGAAAAACCCAAAAAUUGUUUCUGACAAGAAAAAUAACAUUGAAUACCCUUAUCUGGAGAGUACCCCCUUUUUCUCUAAGAAUCCUGGAAACCAAGCCCGGCACCUAGCCCUUAUAUAAUUCACGUCAUUGAAAAUAGCUUGGACCAUAAGAUGGCAAUCUUCAUGGAGCCU